CGAGAGGUUAGUCGUUUAUACGUUUGACCAAAGAGAAUACCUGAACACGCGAUUGAAAGAAACGAUACAGUGACGGCAUUCGAAAUGUGUUUCAAAACGCUUUUAAUUGAUUGCGUCUACCCACAACGCUGACCAGUGAGUGGAACGAGAAAAUAGCGGGAAAACAAGCCAAAGCUUGUGCGAAAGGUCGUUCCAGCGACAAGAUGGAAAGGAGACGAUUAAAUGAAGCGCAAGAUUUUCGCAGAGGACAAAGAAACAUUCGGUGAAAAAGGGGUCCGCACAUUCGCAGAGAGCACGCUGCCAGAGCUUGAGGAGACCUUACGUAGGCGGACAGUUCAGCACCGGCUGCGCUUUACGAGCCCGUUCUUCCUCCCCGCCGACGGCUGUGCACAAUAUACAAAACGUUAAUAUCCUGCGACGAGGAGUUAAUGGACACGCGGCACGGAGCUUCCCCGUUACGUAGGAAUCGAGCGAAGAACGAGCGGAUCGCCGGCUAAUACGAACGUCAAACACUUAAACAUCCCUUGGGCGAUGGAUCAGGCCCUGUGGGAGCGGACACCUGAGCAUGCGAGCCAGACAGAGCCUCUAAACCCCGUUGGAACAGAGGGACGCUGGAUCGCUAUGCGCCCUGGAAUCCUCGAGAUUCGUGAGUUGGCGCGUUUCGAGGGCGCGUUUGUCCCUCGGCUAUUUUUCAUUAAGCUAAAUUCACGAGUAAAGAAUUUAUUUACUGCUGAUUGGAUAACGGAUUUUAGUCGUCGGCGAAACAAUGUAUUGCAAAAAUUUGAUUUUGAAAACGACGUUUAAUGCAUCUGUAGACCAAAAAAACGAAAUUGAUAUCUCCAAGGACCACAAGGAGGGAACCAAUUAGCAGGAAAAACGUGCGUCGAGCGACCCUUUGUACCCCGAAGGGUGCACGAUUUCACGGAUCUUCGCCGACUCUGGCUCCCUUUCGUGCAUCUGCAACCUGGGGAACAGCGUAAAAUUUAAAUAAAUGUCCACCGAGCGGACUGCGCCGGAUACGGUGUAUUAGGUGACAUGCUAAUCGCGGCUCGGUGCAACAUCGUAAAUAUGCGACCGAAUAAUCGGUUCCCCCUGCACCGUGCAAACCUGUCGCCGCUACUUUUCCUUGCCUCUUUCUCUUUCAAUUCUUCCGCUGCGACGUUCGUUUUGUUCUACGUGAUUCUAACGAAACAUACCUUCAAGUGUUGUAAGAAAAGGUAAUGUCUCUCGUUUUACAAUAUUUUUCCACCUUUCCG